UUUCCAUGAUGAAUCAAACUAGCUCACUAUGACUUACACAAUGAAAAGUCCUCUCUGAAAU
ensembl:snoRNA SNORD29 Small nucleolar RNA SNORD29